GACGUAGGGUGCGAGCGUUGUCCGGAUUUAUUGGGCGUAAAGAGCUCGUAGGCGGCUCGUCGCGUCGACCGUGAAAACCCGCAGCUUAACUGCGGGCUUGCGGUUGAUACGGGCGGGCUAGAGUUCGGUAGGGGGAGACUGGAAUUCCUGGUGUAGCGGUGAAAUGCGUAGAUAUCAGGAGGAAUACCGAUGGCGAAGGCAGGUCUCUGGGCUGACACUGACGCUCAUGCACGAAAGCGUGGGGAGCAAACAGG
rnacentral:rRNA from 1 species